rnacentral:rRNA from 1 species
AAUCGGGAGCAGACCAACAGGGAUUGCCCCAGUAACGGCGAGUGAAGCGGCAACAGCUCAAAUUUGAAAUCUGGCCUUCGGGUCCGAGUUGUAAUUUGCAGAGGAUGCUUCGGGCGAGGUGCCUUCCGAGUUCCCUGGAACGGGACGCCAUAGAGGGUGAGAGCCCCGUCUGGUCGGACACCGAGCCCGUGUGAAGCUCCUUCGAAGAGUCGAGUAGUUUGGGAAUGCUGCUCAAAAUGGGAGGUAUAUGUCUUCUAAAGCUAAAUAUUGGCCAGAGACCGAUAGCGCACAAGUAGAGUGAUCGAAAGAUGAAAAGCACUUUGAAAAGAGGGUUAAAAAGUACGUGAAAUUGUUGAAAGGGAAGCGCCCAUGACCAGACUUGGGCCCGGUGAAUCAUCCGGCGUUCUCGCCGGUGCACUUUGCCGGGCACAGGCCAGCAUCAGUCUGGCGCGGGGGAUAAAGGCUUCGGGAAUGUGGCUCCCUCGGGAGUGUUAUAGCCCGUUGCGCAAUACCCUGCGCCGGACUGAGGUACGCGCAUCGCAAGGAUGCUGGCGUAAUGGUCAUCAGCGACCCGUCUUGAAACACGGACCAAGGAGUCGUCUUCGUAUGCGAGUGUUCGGGUGUCAAACCCCUACGCGGAAUGAAAGUGAACGCAGGUGAGAGCUUCGGCGCAUCAUCGACCGAUCCUGAUGUUCUCGGAUGGAUUUGAGUAAGAGCAUACGGGGCCGGACCCGAAAGAAGGUGAACUAUGCCUGUAUAGGGUGAAGCCAGAGGAAACUCUGGUGGAAGCUCGCAGCGGUUCUGACGUGCGAAUCGAUCGUCAAAUAUGGGCAUGGGGGCGAAAGACUAAUCGAACCUUCUAGUAGCUGGGUUCCGCCGAG